rnacentral:lncRNA from 1 species
CAUGGAGGCAGCUCCUGAUCAAAGAGCAUUGUACUGGUGAGGCACUCAUUCUCCCACAUAUGGGCUGACCCCCUGGUGCUGAGUGAGUGAGGUGAGCCUGGUCAGAAUGGGGUUGGGGGCACCAAGAAAGAGAUAGCUCAAUGUAGGGCCCUUGUGUCCAUGCAAGUUUCAUUCACAUCCCCAAAGCAGUGUCAAGCCCCUGAAGCCACAUCAACUCUCCAAUACUAAGCCCCUAGGUUCUUUGAGCAAAGUAGUUGACUAAGAACCAAGAAGAAGAUGAAGAAUAAACAUUAACAAUGGCUGAAAAUUGAGGUUUUAGGUUUUUUACGAAAUACAAAAAUGCCAAUCACAUUUGUAUCUGCUGGGGUUUUAUCAGAAAUCUUCCAGGGGAACUGUGAUGGUUAAUAUUGAGUGUCAACUUGAUUGGAUUGAAGGAUGCAAAGUAUUGUUCCUGAGUGUGUUUGUGAGGGUGUUGCCAAAGGAGGUAACAUUUGAGUCAGUGCACUGGGAGAGGCUAACCUACCCUCAAUCUGGUUGGGCACCAUCUAAUCAGCUGCCAGUGUGGCUAGAAUAAAAGCUGGCCGAAGUUGGAAAAUAAGAUAAGAACACGUGUUGAGUCUGCCGGCCUUCACUUUUCCCCUGUGCUGGAUGCCUUCUGCCCUUGAAUAUCAGACUCCAAGUUCUUCAGCUUUUGGACUCUUGGACUUACACCAGUGUUUUGCCAGGGGCUCUUAGAUCUUCGGCCACAGACUGAAGGCUGCACUGUCAGCUUCCCUACUUUUGAGGUUUUUGGACUCAGACUGGCUUCCUUGCUGCUCAGCUUGCAGACGGCCUAUUGUGGGACUUCACCUUGUGAUCAUGAAGUAGAAGUGAUUAUCCACAUUCCAUAGAAGAAGAAGCGGAGCUCAGAAUGGUCUCAUCUCCAGGCAGCUGUCCCUCUUCUGGAUCUCUGGCAACUCCAGUUCACAGCACCCUUUCUCCUCCUAGCCUAGGAUCCAGUGCCUUUAGCAGCCCAGUCAUGCGACUCUCUCACACCAGCCUGGCACCUGGGUGUCGCCCGAAAGCCUCCUCAGAGCUGUCUUUGAUGAGCACCACCUGCUGCCUGUCAGUCCAACUGCGGUGGAGAUGGUUGGGGUCAAAUCCCCAUUGUCAAGGUGAUAGGAGAGACCUCAGUGUGCUUUGUGGAUGCAGAGGAUGAAAAUCAGCAAAACUGAAUGAGCUGUGUGCUGUUCUUAGAGGAAGCACUAGGUAAACUAUUCCAGUACAAUUCUGUUUAUUCUUUUCUGUGCAAACCCAAAUUUAGUGUACCCAAUACACAUGCAUAUGAAUACAUACCACAUAGAAAUGCACAGACAUCACACACACCCACAACACUCAGACACAGGGAUGUGAGUGUAUGCAUGAACACAUACUCACACUCACACACCAUUGUAAGGCUUGUCCUCAUCCUAAGAGUUUAACGUAAUAGCUUUUUUAAAAAAAAUUGAAUAAAUGAAUGAAUGAAAUCAUUAUUUUAUCUGUAAUCAUUUAACAGAGGAUGGAGAAUAAUAGCCACCCACUCUCAACCAUCCCAGUUUUAAACAUUUAUUAAUAUUGGGGUUUAUUUUUAAAAGAAAUUCAAAAACUUAGGGUAAAAUGUUCCCCCAAAACUUUUACUGUUGCCUGGGUUUAUUAUUUUUCAGAAUUCAAUAAAUUUUUCAGAAUUGUUUUUCCUUUAAAGAGUGGAAACUUCUGAAGAAAAUAGCCAUGUUACCAAUGUCGUCACGCUGAAGCCACAGAGUCAAGUUAGUGGCAAUGGCCGUGGACUGGGAGCCAAUUGAACUGGGUUUCAAUCCUGCCUUUUUUUUUAUUAUUUUUAAAUGCAACUGUAUGCAAAUUGCUUCUUCUCCCUGAGUCUCCAUUUUCUCAUUUAUAAUUUGGGGAGCGGGGUAGAGAGUCUUUACUUAAACAUAGGGCAUUACCCCUCCAUACAUCCAUAUUUAUGUGCCCUCUUAAGAUCCUUCUAAGAUAUUUUUAAAAACAAAGGCUAAGCUCUUUAACCAUAAGAACCCACUGUGGAUGCAGGACAUCAAUACAUUUCCAGGGGGGAAGACAUUGGGUCAUUGGGUAGGUGCUGACUGAUCAAACAAGGUGGAGGAAGCCACAGGAGACAGUAACAAAGAAAUAAAUACAGCCAUGCACCUUACUGAAUCUUGGAGAGACUUGGGAUUCUGGAACACCAGUUAUAAUUAAGCAUCGGAGCAAGCCACAGAUUGAUUCUGGACUGGCAUGAUUUUGCCCCACCCUCAGGGGACAUUUGUCAAUGUUUGGAGACAUCUUGAGUAUCAUGACUGGGAGGUGCUCCUGACACCUGGGGGUUAGAAGCCAGAGAUGCUGCUAAACAUCCUACUAUGCACAGGGCAGCCCCCUUGACAAAGAGUCAUACAGCUCAAAAUUGUCAAAAAUCUUAAAGUUAAGAAACUCCACUCUACACCCAAGAGUUGAUCUCCCACUCUGAAACCUUCUCCAUAUUUGAAGACUAACAGAUAUCCAUCUACCUCACUGUUAUGGGCUGAAUUUUUCUCCUCAAAAUUUAUAUGUUGAAGACCUAAUCCCCAGUACCUCAGAAUGUGACUGCAUUUAGAGAUGGGGCCAUUAAAGAAGUAACUAAGUUAAAAUGAGGCCUUUAGAGUAAGCCCUUAUCUGAUCUGACUCAUGUCCUUAUAAGAAGAGGAGAUUAGGACACACAGAGAGACACCAGCGAUGCACAUGCACAGAGAAAAGUCGUAUAAGGACACAGAGAGAAGGCAGCCAUCCGCAAACCAUGGAGGAAGGCCUCAAAAGAAAUCAACUCUGCCAACACCUUGAUCUUAGACUUCCAGCCUCCAGAACUGUGAGAAAAUGAAUUUCUGUUGUUUAAGCCAUCCAGUCUGUAAUACUUUAUUAUAACAGCCCAAGAAAACUAAUACACCCACUAUGCAAGUAAUGAGAGGGUUCUUCUCCAAAGAAAUGGGAUGAACACAGAGAAAAGACCUCCAAUCUGGUAAUUAUGGGUCCCCAGAAUUAUUGCCCACUCCCCUGCAUCACAUUAAAGGGAACUGCCAACCUACAAUCACUGUUCCCCACCCACCCACCCCCACCUCACACAUACACAACACACAGCUCAAGAUCAGCUUAUUGUCUGGCUCUUAAAUGUGAUGUAACACCCAAAGAUCUCUGAGGAACAUCUACAACCCAAAAGAGAGAAACCAAGAUUAACAAGCAGCAUAUGCAACGUUGGAAAGAAGAGAAAUAAUUUGGAAACACAAUUUAACCUUUAAAAACUCUUUAAUAAAUAUUCUUAGAAAGAGUAGUAAAAAAAAAUAUUGCAUCAACAAAGUACAACUAGCUAACAAGGAAAAACUAUUGAAAAAUAAAUAUAUGAGCCCGAAAUUCUAAUAGUAGGUAAAAUAUAAUAAAACCAAUGUUGUAGAACAAAGGCAAGAAGAUGUAAGAAAAUGAGAAAGGUAAGAUGUGUUGAGGAUCAGUCCAAGAGGCCCCACAUCUGAUCAAUAGGAGUGACAAAAAGAGAAAAACAAAAAGAAAGAAAUCAAAGAAUUAUCGCAAAGGAUUGUCCCAGAGUCAAAGGACAUGAGUAUCCAAAUUAAGAAGCCAAUCAAGUACCCAAGUGCUCAAGUUGACAACUCACAUAUGUGCAUACACAUGCAGACAUACACACACACAUCUAGACCCAUCACUAUAAAACUUCAAUACAUCCAUAAUAGAAGAUACUGAGAAG